rnacentral:sRNA from 2 species
AGAGUAAGUCAGCCUAAUCCAGCCCAUCACAGUGCAUAACGCUGGAGCGGAGGAACCAAAUUGUGGGGCGUAUCUGGAAGAAAGUUAAGAGUUAGGAGUUAUGAGUUAUGAAUUAUGAGUUAUGAGUUAGGAGUUUUUAAUUAACUCUUCACUCCUCACUCAUAACUCCCAAUCCCUCACUCCCAACUCAGAACUUUCUUCAGAGGGGCAUCUCUCAGCCCUAGCCCGUCAGCUAACUUCGUAGGCAUUGAGAGGAGACUGA